UACGUAGGGUGCGAGCGUUGUCCGGAAUUAUUGGGCGUAAAGGGCUCGUAGGCGGUUUGUCGCGUCGGGAGUGAAAACCUUGGGCUUAACUCAGGGCUUGCUUUCGAUACGGGCAGACUAGAGGUAUGCAGGGGAGAACGGAAUUCCUGGUGUAGCGGUGAAAUGCGCAGAUAUCAGGAAGAACACCCGUGGCGAAGGCGGCUUUCUGGGACGGUACUGACGCUGAGACGCGAAAGCGUGGGGAGCGAACAGG
rnacentral:rRNA from 1 species